rnacentral:rRNA from 1 species
CAGGAUCCUGAGUACGGCGGAACACGUGAAAUUCCGUCGGAAUCCGGGAGGACCAUCUCCCAAGGCUAAAUACUCCCUAGUGACCGAUAGUGAACCAGUACCGUGAGGGAAAGGUGAAAAGCACCCCGGAAGGGGAGUGAAACAGUUCCUGAAACCGUGUGCCUACAAUUAGUCAAAGCCCGUUAACGGGUAAUGGCGUGCCUUUUGUAGAAUGAACCGGCGAGUUACGUUUGCCUGCGAGGUUAAGAUGAAAAGUCGGAGCCGGAGCGAAAGCGAGUCUGAACAGGGCGCUUCAGUAGGUAGAUGUAGACCCGAAACCAAGUGACCUACCCAUGACCAGGUUGAAGGUGUGGUGAAACACACUGGAGGACCGAACCCAUGUAUGUUGAAAAAUGCUGGGAUGAGUUGUGGGUAGCGGUGAAAUUCCAAACGAACUUGGAGAUAGCUGGUUCUCUCCGAAAUAGCUUUAGGGUUAGCCUCGGAGGAUGGAUCAUGGAGGUAGAGCACUGUUUGAACUAGGGGCCCGUCAAGGGUUACUGAAUUCAGAUAAACUCCGAAUACCAUUGAUCUUACUCCGGGAGUCAGACAGUGAGCGAUAAGGUCCAUUGUCGAAAGGGGAACAGCCCAGAUCACCAGUUAAGGUCCCUAAAUUUAUGCUAAGUGGAAAAGGAUGUGGCGUUGCACAGACAACUAGGAUGUUGGCUCAGAAGCAGCCACCAUUUAAAGAGUGCGUAAUAGCUCACUAGUCGAGUGGCACUGCGCCGAAAAUAUACCGGGGCUAAGCAUAAUACCGAAACUGUGGGUGCACCCGUCAGGGUGCGCGGUAGGAGAGCGUUCUAAGGGCGUUGAAGGUCGAUCGUGAGGACGGCUGGAGCGCUUAGAAGUGAGAAUGCCGGCAUGAGUAGCGAAAGAUCAGUGAGAAUCUGAUCCACCGUAUGACUAAGGUUUCCUGGGGAAGGCUCGUCCUCCCAGGGUUAGUCGGGAUCUAAGGCGAGGCCGCAAGGCGUAGUCGAUGACAAGCAGGUUGAGAUUCCUGCACUAGUUUAUUUUGUUUAAGCGAUGGAGGGACGCAGGAGGCUAAGGAAAGCGCACGGCUGGAAAAGUGCGUCCAAGCAGUAAGUCCGGUAGCGAGUGAAAUGCUUGCCGCCUUAAGGACAAGCUGUGAUGGGGAGCGAAAUUAAAGUAGCGAAGUUCCUGAUGUCACACUGCCAAGAAAAGCUUCUAGUGAGAAAUAAACUACCCGUACCGCAAACCGACACAGGUAGUCGAGGAGAGUAUCCUCAGGUGAGCGAGCGAACUCUCGUUAAGGAACUCGGCAAAAUGACCCCGUAACUUCGGAAGAAGGGGUGCUGACCGCAAGGUCAGCCGCAGUGAAUAGGCCCAAACAACUGUUUAUCAAAAACACAGGUCUCUGCUAAAUCGUAAGAUGAUGUAUAGGGGCUGACGCCUGCCCGGUGCUGGAAGGUUAAGAGGAUGAGUUAGCGCAAGCGAAGCCCAGAAUUGAAGCCCCAGUAAACGGCGGCCGUAACUAUAACGGUCCUAAGGUAGCGAAAUUCCUUGUCGGGUAAGUUCCGACCCGCACGAAAGGCGUAAUGAUUUGGGCACUGUCUCAACGAGAGACUCGGUGAAAUUAUAGUACCCGUGAAGAUGCGGGUUACCCGCGACAGGACGGAAAGACCCCAUGGAGCUUUACUGUAGCUUGAUAUUGAGUGUUGGUACCGCUUGUACAGGAUAGGUAGGAGCCGUAGAGAUCGGAACGCUAGUUUCGAUGGAGGCAUUGGUGGGAUACUACCCUAGCUGUAUGAACACUCUAACCCGCGCCACU